GACGAACGCUGGCGGCGUGCCUAAUACAUGCAAGUUGAGCGCUGAAGGUUGGUACUUGUACCAACUGGAUGAGCAGCGAACGGGUGAGUAACGCGUGGGGAAUCUGCCUUUGAGCGGGGGACAACAUUUGGAAACGAAUGCUAAUACCGCAUAAAAACUUUAAACACAAGUUUUAAGUUUGAAAGAUGCAAUUGCAUCACUCAAAGAUGAUCCCGCGUUGUAUUAGCUAGUUGGUGAGGUAAAGGCUCACCAAGGCGAUGAUACAUAGCCGACCUGAGAGGGUGAUCGGCCACAUUGGGACUGAGACACGGCCCAAACUCCUACGGGAGGCAGCAGUAGGGAAUCAUCGGCAAUGGACGAAAGUCUGACCGAGCAACGCCGCGUGAGUGAAGAAGGUUUUCGGAUCGUAAAACUCUGUUGGUAGAGAAGAACGUUGGUGAGAGUGGAAAGCUCAUCAAGUGACGGUAACUACACAGAAAGGGACGGCUAACUACGUG
rnacentral:rRNA from 1 species